rnacentral:rRNA from 1 species
UACGUAGGGUGCAAGCGUUGUCCGGAAUUAUUGGGCGUAAAGAGCUCGUAGGCGGUUUGUCGCGUCGGCUGUGAAAACCCGGGGCUCAACCCCGGGCCUGCAGUCGAUACGGGCAAACUAGAGUGUGGUAGGGGAGACUGGAAUUCCUGGUGCAGCGGUGAAAUGCGCAGAUAUCAGGAGGAACACCGGUGGCGAAGGCGGGUCUCUGGGCCAUAACUGACGCUGAGGAGCGAAAGCGUGGGGAGCGAACAGG